rnacentral:rRNA from 1 species
UAAUUGAAUUUAUUAUUAGUAAAACCUGCUCAAUGAUAUUUAAAUAGCCGCAGAAAUCUGUGCUAAGGUAGCAUAAUCAUUUGCCUAUUAAUUUCAGGCUAGAAUGAAUGGUUAAACAUGUAAAUUAUUUUAUUAAAUUUAUUCAUUUAAUUUUACUUGUAAGUAAAAAGGCUUACAUUAUUAGAAGGACGACAAGACCCUAUCAAACUUUACAUUUUUGUUUCGCUGGGGAAGCGGAAAAAUAAAAUCUUUAUUAAAUUCUUAAACACAUCUAUUAUAUUAAAUUUUACUAAGUUACUGUAGGGAUAACAGCAUAAUAUUCUUAUAAAGUUCUUAUUUUUAAGAAAGUUUAUGACCUCGAUGUUGAAUUAAAUAUUCUAUUAAUAGAGCAAAAUCUUAAUAAGAAAGUCUGUUCGACUUUUAAAAUUUU